CCUACGGGAGGCAGCAGUGAGGAAUAUUGGUCAAUGGACGAGAGUCUGAACCAGCCAAGUAGCGUGAAGGAUGACUGCACUAUGUGUUGUAAACUUCUUUUAUAAGGGAAUAAAACGAGGCACGUGUGCCUUUUUGCAUGUACUUUAUGAAUAAGGAUCGGCUAACUCCGUGCCAGCAGCCGCGGUAAUACGGAGGAUCCGAGCGUUAUCCGGAUUUAUUGGGUUUAAAGGGAGCGUAGAUGGGUUGUUAAGUCAGUUGUGAAAGUUUGCGGCUCAACCGUCAAAUUGCAAUUGAUACUGGCAGUCUCGAGUACAGUUGAGGUAGGCGGAAUUCGUGGUGUAGCGGUGAAAUGCUUAGAUAUCACGAAGAACCCCGAUUGCGAAGGCAGCUUACUAAACUGAGACUGACAUUGAUGCUCGAAAGUGUGGGUAUCAAACAGGAUUAGAUACCCUAGUAGUC
rnacentral:rRNA from 1 species